rnacentral:rRNA from 1 species
AGAGUUUGAUCCUGGCUCAGGACGAACGCUGGCGGCGCGCCUAACACAUGCAAGUCGAACGAGCGAGAGAGAGCUUGCUUUCUCGAGCGAGUGGCGAACGGGUGAGUAACGCGUGAGGAACCUGCCUCAAAGAGGGGGACAACAGUUGGAAACGACUGCUAAUACCGCAUAAGCCCACGACCCGGCAUCGGGUAGAGGGAAAAGGAGCAAUCCGCUUUGAGAUGGCCUCGCGUCCGAUUAGCUAGUUGGUGAGGUAACGGCCCACCAAGGCGACGAUCGGUAGCCGGACUGAGAGGUUGAACGGCCACAUUGGGACUGAGACACGGCCCAGACUCCUACGGGAGGCAGCAGUGGGGAAUAUUGCACAAUGGGGGAAACCCUGAUGCAGCGACGCCGCGUGGAGGAAGAAGGUCUUCGGAUUGUAAACUCCUGUUGUUGAGGAAGAUAAUGACGGUACUCAACAAGGAAGUGACGGCUAACUACGUGCCAGCAGCCGCGGUAAAACGUAGGUCACAAGCGUUGUCCGGAAUUACUGGGUGUAAAGGGAGCGCAGGCGGGAAGACAAGUUGGAAGUGAAAUCCAUGGGCUCAACCCAUGAACUGCUUUCAAAACUGUUUUUCUUGAGUAGUGCAGAGGUAGGCGGAAUUCCCGGUGUAGCGGUGGAAUGCGUAGAUAUCGGGAGGAACACCAGUGGCGAAGGCGGCCUACUGGGCACCAACUGACGCUGAGGCUCGAAAGUGUGGGUAGCAAACAGGAUUAGAUACCCUGGUAGUCCACACUGUAAACGAUGAUUACUAGGUGUUGGAGGAUUGACCCCUUCAGUGCCGCAGUUAACACAAUAAGUAAUCCACCUGGGGAGUACGACCGCAAGGUUGAAACUCAAAGGAAUUGACGGGGGCCCGCACAAGCAGUGGAGUAU